UACAUAUCAUAUAGAGCAGCCGGCCAAAGAGACUUGAAACUUUCCGUUGCCUAAGAAGCCUCUGAUGCGACAUGUAUUUAUUGUUUCUCUCAAGUCGAUCUCAACCCAUCAUCCACUUCACAAUUUCUAGCUCUACUUCUCCUACUUAGUUUAGUUUCUACAAAAAUACCAAACUAGUCUAUGUUCUAACUUAACUCCUUACCUUCUUCUAAUCUUCUCUAACUCAGACUAAAUUUAUGGAGUCCAAAUAUCAUCAAGAGGAUUCAACAAACUCAUCAUCCGGCGAAGAAUCUGAUCAAGUGGAGCUGCACAACAGUGGCUUAUCAAGAUCUUACGAGUGUGUCUUCUGUAAAAGAGGCUUCACCACAGCACAGGCCUUGGGAGGACACAUGAAUAUCCACAGAAAAGAUAAGGCCAAGACAAGGCCUUGUAAAGAUAAUAAGCAGCAGCAGGAUAGCUACAAUGGCAAGGUUCCAGCCAUUUUUCCAGUGUCAACAAGCUUGUGCAGUCAUGAUCAGAAUCCGCUGCCAGGGAUCGAGGAUUAUCAGCUGGGGCUCGGCUUGAGCUUGCAGUUUAGGACAUCGAAAUUCAGGCAAGAGGUCCUGGAGGAUAAGAGAAGAGGUGGCUUGGUUGAAGACGAUGAUUUGGAUUUGGAGCUCAGGCUUGGUCAUAAUCCUUAAUUUUGAAUCAUUUUCAGCCGUUUCAUGGUAGCUAGCGGGGGAAGAAGAAGAUCUAAUAUAUGUGUGUGAGCUUUAUGCUGGGUAAACUGAAAGUCUCAUUCAUCAACUUGAAGAUGGAAGCAAAGCAGAUCCUGUUAAAACGGAUCAUGAUUUUGGUUUAUCCUACUCCAGGAAUGCAGGUAACAUCCACUGUGGCCUGUGGGAUACAUACUUCAUAUGUGCAUGAAAACGCGCGCCUUCUCGUCAUCUUAAAUUCGUUGGGCCUGUUUGGUUUGCAGAAGUAGAAGCUGCUUCUGGCUUUGCUUUUCUUGACCCGUUUGUGCAUAUAAGUAAGAGCAAUUUUAAGAAGAUGAGAAUACUAUGAACUUCUGUUUUUUUUUCCAAACACUUUAUUAACUUA